UUAGCACUUUCUCCAUUCGGAAAUACUUGUCAUCAAAAUGAAUAAAAGAGGAUUUAUCUAGACUUAUUUUAGUUCUAGAUGCAUCUCUUUUUAUUCAUUUUGAAGACAAGUAUUUUCGGAUGGAGGGAGUAUAAA
rfam:Triticum aestivum genome assembly, contig: Triticum_aestivum_CS42_TGACv1_scaffold_404201_5BL